GUGGCAGGGGCGGCGGUAAUACCAGCUCUCCGAGUGGUAGGGAUGAUUAUUGGGCUUAAAGCGUCCGUAGCCUGCUUAGCAAGUUUCCUGUUAAAUUCAGCGACCUAAUCGUUGAGCCGCGGGAAAUACUACUAGGCUAGGAGGCGGGAGAGGUCGACGGUACUUCUGGGGUAGGGGUGAAAUCCUAUAAUCCCGGGAGGACCACCAGUGGCGAAGGCUGUCGACUAGAACGCGCUCGACGGUGAGGGACGAAAGCUGGGGGAGCGAACCGGAUUAGAUACCCGGGUAGUCCCAGCUGUAAACGAUGCGGGCUAGGUGUUGGGGUGGCUACGUGCCACUUCAGUGCCGCAGGGAAGCCAUUAAGCCCGCCGCCUGGGGAGUACGGCCGCAAGGCUGAAACUUAAAGGAAUUGGCGGGGGAGCACCACAAGGCGUGAAGCUUGCGGUUCAAUUGGAGUCAACGCCGGGAACCUUACCGGGGGCGACAGCAGUAUGAUAGCCAGAUUGAAGGUCUUGCUGGACAAGCUGAGAGGAGGUGCAUGGCCGUCGCCAGUUCGUGCCGUGAGGUGUCCUGUUAAGUCAGGCAACGAUCGAGACCCGCACCACUAGUUGCUACUGAGGAAAUUUUCCAAGGGGCACUCUAGUGGGACUGCCGUCGAUAAGACGGAGGAAGGAGCGGUCAACGGCAGGUCAGUAUGCCCCGAAUUCCCCCGGGCUACAUGCGAGCUGCAAUGGCAGGAACAAUGGGUUCCGACCUUGAGAAAGGAAGGCAAUCUCGAAAUCCUGCCUCAGUUUGGAUUGAAGGCUGAAACUCGCCUUCAUGAAAAUGGAAUGCCUAGUAAUCGCGCGUCAUCAACGCGCGGUGAAUACGUCCCCGCUCCUUGCACACACCGCCCGUCGCUCCAUCCGAGUGGGGUUUGGGUGAGGCGUGGUCUUCUUGGCUGCGUCGAAUCUGAGUUCCGCAAGGAGGGAGAAGUCGUAACAAGGUAACC
rnacentral:rRNA from 1 species